CCUACGGGAGGCAGCAGUAGGGAAUCUUCCACAAUGGGCGCAAGCCUGAUGGAGCAACACCGCGUGAGUGAAGAAGGGUCUCGGCUCGUAAAGCUCUGUUGUUGGAGAAGAACGUGCGUGAGAGUAACUGUUCACGCAGUGACGGUAUCCAACCAGAAAGUCACGGCUAACUACGUGCCAGCAGCCGCGGUAAUACGUAGGUGGCAAGCGUUAUCCGGAUUUAUUGGGCGUAAAGCGAGUGCAGGCGGUUGCUUAGGUCUGAUGUGAAAGCCUUCGGCUUAACCGAAGAAGUGCAUCGGAAACCGGGCAACUUGAGGGCAGAAGGGGACAGUGGAACUCCAUGUGUAGCGGUGGAAUGCGUAGAUAUAUGGAAGAACACCAGUGGCGAAGGCGGCUGUCUGGUCUGCAACUGACGCUGAGGCUCGAAAGCAUGGGUAGCGAACAGGAUUAGAUACCCUAGUAGUC
rnacentral:rRNA from 1 species